rnacentral:rRNA from 1 species
CCUACGGGUGGCAGCAGUGAGGAAUAUUGGUCAAUGGACGAGAGUCUGAACCAGCCAAGUAGCGUGAAGGAUGACUGCCCUAUGGGUUGUAAACUUCUUUUAUAAAGGAAUAAAACGAGGCACGUGUGCCUUUUUGCAUGUACUUUAUGAAUAAGGAUCGGCUAACUCCGUGCCAGCAGCCGCGGUAAUACGGAGGAUCCGAGCGUUAUCCGGAUUUAUUGGGUUUAAAGGUAGCGUAGAUGGGUUGUUAAGUCAGUUGUGAAAGUUUGCGGCUCAACCGUAAAAUUGCAAUUGAUACUGGCAGUCGUGAGUACAGUUGAGGUAGGCGGAAUUCGUGGUGUAGCGGUGAAAUGCUUAGAUAUCACGAAGAACCCCGAUUGCGAAGGCAGCUUACUAAACUGUGACUGACAUUGAUGCUCGAAAGUGUGGGUAUCAAACAGGAUUAGAUACCCGGGUAGUC